CAGUAGCCGCGGGAAAACAGAGGAUGCAAGCGUUAUCCGGAAUGAUUGGGCGUAAAGCGUCUGUAGGUGGCUUUUCAAGUCCGCCGUCAAAUCCCAGGGCUCAACCCUGGACAGGCGGUGGAAACUACCAAGCUGGAGUACGGUAGGGGCAGAGGGAAUUUCCGGUGGAGCGGUGAAAUGCGUUGAGGUCGGAAAGAACACCAACAGCGAAAGCACUCUGCUGGGCCGACACUGACACUGAGAGACGAAAGCUAGGGGAGCAAAUGGGAUUAGAUACCCCGGUAGUCCCUGUCUCUUAUAC
rnacentral:rRNA from 1 species